rnacentral:rRNA from 1 species
AACAGGAUUAGAUACCCUGGUAGUCCACGCCCUAAACGAUGUCAACUAGCUGUUGGGGCCUUCGGGCCUUGGUAGCGCAGCUAACGCGUGAAGUUGACCGCCUGGGGAGUACGGUCGCAAGAUUAAAACUCAAAGGAAUUGACGGGGACCCGCACAAGCGGUGGAUGAUGUGGAUUAAUUCGAUGCAACGCGAAAAACCUUACCUACCCUUGACAUGUCUGGAAUUCCGAAGAGAUUUGGAAGUGCUCGCAAGAGAACCGGAACACAGGUGCUGCAUGGCUGUCGUCAGCUCGUGUCGUGAGAUGUUGGGUUAAGUCCCGCAACGAGCGCAACCCUUGUCAUUAGUUGCUACGAAAGGGCACUCUAAUGAGACUGCCGGUGACAAACCGGAGGAAGGUGGGGAUGACGUCAAGUCCUCAUGGCCCUUAUGGGUAGGGCUUCACACGUCAUACAAUGGUCGGGACAGAGGGUCGCCAACCCGCGAGGGGGAGCCAAUCCCAGAAACCCGAUCGUAGUCCGGAUCGCAGUCUGCAACUCGACUGCGUGAAGUCGGAAUCGCUAGUAAUCGCGGAUCAGCAUGUCGCGGUGAAUACGUUCCCGGGUCUUGUACACACCGCCCGUCACACCAUGGGAGUGGGUUUUACCAGAAGUAGUUAGCCUAACCGCAAGGGGGGCGAUUACCACGGUAGGAUUCAUGACUGGGGUGAAGUCGUAACAAGGUAACC